rnacentral:rRNA from 1 species
UUUCUGUCUCUUCGAAAUUUUUUUCUAACUUAAUUAAAGAGUGAAAAUACUCUUAAAAAAAAUAUUAGACGAGAAGACCCUUAGAAUUAUCAUUAUUCUAGAAACAGUUAUAAUUUUAGCAAUUUUUGUUGGGGCAACAGGGGUAUCUAAUUUUAUGGAACUACCCUGUAUUUAGGUCUCUACACGCCGAAAAGUCUUAAGAAAGAAUUAAUUACCUAAGGGAUAACAGCAUAAUUAUAAAAUUUUAGUUUGUGACCUCGAUGUUGGACUAG